GGCGGACGGGUGAGUAACGCGUGGGUAACCUGCCCUAUACACAUGGAUAACAUACCGAAAGGUAUGCUAAUACAGGAUAACAUAUUUUGAUCGCAUGGUCGAAAUAUCAAAGCUCCGGCGGUAUAGGAUGGACCCGCGUCUGAUUAGCUAGUUGGUAAGGUAAUGGCUUACCAAGGCGACGAUCAGUGGCCGACCUGAGAGGGUGAUCGGCCACAUUGGAACUGAGACACGGUCCAAACUCCUACGGGAGGCAGCAGUGGGGAAUAUUGCACAAUGGGCGAAAGCCUGAUGCAGCAACGCCGCGUGAGCGAUGAAGGCCUUCGGGUCGUAAAGCUCUGUCCUCAAGGAAGAUAAUGACGGUACUUGAGGAGGAAGCCCCGGCUAACUACGUGCCAGCAGCCGCGGUAAUACGUAGGGGGCUAGCGUUAUCCGGAAUUACUGGGCGUAAAGGGUGCGUAGGUGGUUUCUUAAGUCAGAGGUGAAAGGCUACGGCUCAACCGUAGUAAGCCUUUGAAACUGAGAAACUUGAGUGCAGGAGAGGAGAGUAGAAUUCC
rnacentral:rRNA from 1 species